rnacentral:rRNA from 1 species
CACGUAGGGGGCGAGCGUUGUCCGGAUUCAUUGGGCGUAAAGAGCUCGUAGGCGGCUCAGUAAGUCGGGUGUGAAACCCUCAGGCUCAACCUGGGGACGCCACUCGAUACUGCUGUGGCUAGAGUCCAGUAGAGGAGUGUGGAAUUCCCGGUGUAGCGGUGAAAUGCGCAGAUAUCGGGAGGAACACCAACGGCGAAGGCAGCACUCUGGGCUGGAACUGACGCUGAGGAGCGAAAAGCGUGGGUAGCAAAC